rnacentral:rRNA from 1 species
GACGAACGCUGGCGGCGUGCCUAACACAUGCAAGUCGAACGGAAAGGCCCGGCUUUUGUGGGGUGCUCGAGUGGCGAACGGGGGAGUAACACGUGAGUAACCUGCCCUUGACUGAGGGAUAUCUUCAGGAAACAGGGGCUCAUACCGGGUAGGAGCUCUUGCUGCAUGGUGGGGGUUGGAAAGUUUCGGCGGUUGGGGAUGGUUUCGCGGCUUAUCAGCUUGUUGGUGGGGUAGUGGCUUACCAAGGCUUUGACGGGUAGCCGGCCUGAGAGGGUGACCGGCCACAAUAGGACUGAGAUACGGCGCAGUCUCGAACGGGAGGCAGCGGUGGAGAGUAUUACACAAUGGGCGGGAGCCUGAUGCGACGACGCCGCGUGCGGGAUGACGGGCUUCGGGUUGUAAACCGAUUUCGCAUGUGACGAGGCGUGAGUGACGGUACUGGGUAAAGAAGCCCCGGCUAACUACGUG